GAUGAAGAAGCAGCGAAAUGCGAUACGUAAUGUGAAUUGCAAAUUCAGUGAAUCAUCGAGUCUUUGAACGCACAUUGCGCCCCCUGGUAUUCCGGGGGGCAUGCCUGUCCGAGCGUCAUUGCUGCCCUCAAGCACGGCUUGUGUGUUGGGCCCCGUCCUCCGAUCCCGGGGGACGGGCCCGAAAGGCAGCGGCGGCACCGCGUCCGGUCCUCGAGCGUAUGGGGCUUUGUCACCCGCUCUGUAGGCCCGGCCGGCGCUUGCCGAUCAACCCAAAUUUUUAUCCAGGUUGACCUCGGAUCAGGUAGGGAUACCCGCUGAACUUAAGCAUAUCAAUAAGCGGAGGA
rnacentral:misc_RNA from 1 species